CCUACGGGGAGCAGCAGGGGGGAAUAUUGGACAAUGGGGGGAACCCUGAUCCAGCGAAGCCGCGUGAGUGAAGAAGUAUCUCGGUAUGUAAAGCUCUAUCAGCAGGGAAGAAAGAAAUGACGGUACCUGACUAAGAAGCCCCGGCUACCUACGUGCCAGCAGCCGCGGUAAUACGUAGGGGGCAAGCGUUAUCGGAUUUUAUUGGGUGAAAAGGAGCGUAGACGGCUGAGCAAGUCUGAAGUUAAAGGCGGGGGCCCAAACCCCGGACUGAUUUGGAAACCGUAUAGCUAGAGUGCAGGAGAGGUAAGUGGAAUGCCUAGUGUAGCGGUGAAAUGCGUAGAUAUUAGGAGGAACACCAGUGGCGAAGGCGGCUUACUGGACUGUAACUGACGUUGAGGCUCGAAAGCGUGGGGAGCAAACAGGAUUAGAUACCCCUGUAGUC
rnacentral:rRNA from 1 species